CAAAGAUCAGCCUUCAGCUCACUCUUGGUCUCCUAAGCAACAGGCUGUAAACUCAGAGCUCCUCUACGCAGGGCGAGGCAGACCCAGGGGAGCAAUAGAAGAAUAAUAACACUUUGGUGAGGGGUCAUGUGGGCCUCCACCAUAAACAUACUUUUAUUUUGUUUUUCUGCAAGCAUCAUUUCUUCACCGUGAAGAAGCAGAAGCCUACUUGAGACUGGGUGUCUCUGGGUUCUUGUAGGUAAUGGAGGAGUGCAGACAGGGGUUAUCAGAUCUACUGCUGGAGGGGGAUUUGGGAGCAGUGGCUUUGGGGCUGGAGCAGGGACUUUUCUCCUUGGAUGAGCUGGACCUGCCACACAACUCUGAUGGCUCCACUCCCCUUAUCAGCGCUUGCAAGAUGGGCCUCAAAACGGUCAUGCAUUUUCUUCUGGAAAGGGGAGCAGAUGCGACACUCUGUAACCACAGCAGCCAGACGGCGCUUCAUGUCAGUUCUCCAGACCUGCAGGAGGAGCUGUUGGCAGCCAUAGUGAGACCUUUAUCCCACAAAGGCCAACUGUUAGGGGCUGCCUGGAGGGGAGACAUUAGUGCCCUAGAGCACCUGCUGACAGACAACUUGGUAGAUGUCAACACUCAGAACCGGGAUGGACUCACUGCACUGAUGCUGGCGGUGAGGGAAGUGGACCUGUUUGAAGGGCUGAAGGACAUCAUACCCUGGGACUACAACCCCACUGAAACAGUGAAGGCACUGUUAUCUCUAUCUGCGAGCUUAGAGAUACAGGAUCAAAGGGGCUACACGGUUCUUCACUACGCCUCUCAGAUUAGGACUCCCAUCAAAAAUGAGAUUCUGCAGAAUAUUUCAAAUUCACCUUCACAAUCAGUGCCCACACAUGUGGAACCACAGUGUCAUUUCCCUACAGACUGCUGUACUAAUUCCCUCAGCCGCUCUCCUCCUCCAGCAGGGAGUGUUCUGGAGUGCACUAAAGUCAGAGAGAGCCACGGAUAUUUCAAUAAAGGUAAGUUAACACUAUUCCCUCAAAACACUGAUGACAACAUGCAAAAGAUACAACUGUGCAGCGCCUCAACAAAUACAGUAGAGCUCUGUCUGUGCCUCCCUCGAGGCAGCGCUCUCUCCGCUGCGGGAAACACACCUAGAUUAGCCUAUCAACACACACCGAUACUCAGAGAGCCAGCCCAUCCCAAACAGAAACCAUGACAAUAGAAGGGGGUGUGUCUGACUGAGCUGACUGAGAUGACUGAGCGAUUCUGUGCCAAGUGACUCCUCAUACAGCCUGAACACAUCACGGAGCACAUCAUUUUAAAGACUGCUCAUCACUAAAAGAGACAAUUCUCAGAAGAAGAUGCUUGAAAUACCCUGGAUGAAGAAAACAGACCUUUUGCAAUGAGGAAACGUAAUAUUCAUUCAUCUUCUAAACAGGCAAGACUGAUAUUUAAUGUGUUUUAAUGCUUUACUUUGUAUUGCUAAUGGAUCUUGCUUAGACUCAAGUAGCAUUUGAGUCAUUAAUAUGGAUCAUUUUUAAAUGGAUCGUAUUGUCACAUUUGCACAAACCUUUAUUAGAUUGGAUUAGAUUAUUUAGCUUGAUGUAGGUUAUUUAUGCAAGUUGACUUCAAGAUUCACUCUAGGAAAUGUGUUAAUAAACUGAAUAUGCUUACUGACA
ensembl:lncRNA